UUCAUAGGAUUUGGGAGGACUUUUGCAAUCGUUGCUGAAAGUCAGUGUUUGUAUUAGUGAUUUGGAUUUUUUUUGCAAUAAAGUUAAGGCUGAUACUCUUGACUAUUUUGUGAAAUUGAAGAAACUUCAACGAUUGAAAUUUAGAGAUGUCUAGAGGAUUGAGUAUGCUGAGUGCAGGCAAAAGUUUGUGUUAAUCUAACAAAACAGAUAGAGGAUAUUUGACCAUUAGUGUAAAGAGGUAUCAAAA
rnacentral:lncRNA from 1 species